GGUUCGGUAGCCAAGCGGCAAAGGCAACUGGUUGCAACCCAGUGAUCGCGAGUUCGAGUCUCGCUCGGACCUCCA
rnacentral:tRNA from 1 species